rnacentral:snRNA from 1 species
UAUACAUAUACAUGUAAUCCUCCGAUAAAAUUGGAACGUUACAGAGAAGAUUAGCAUGGCCCCGGCGCAAGGAUGAAACGCACAAUCGAGAAGUGUACCAAAAAUUG